rnacentral:rRNA from 1 species
UACGUAGGUGACGAGCGUUAUCCGGAUUUACUGGGCGUAAAGCGCUUGUAGGUGGUCUUGUAAGUUGGGCGUGAAAACACCGGGCUUAACUCGGUGACGCCGUCCAAUACUGCGAGGCUGGAGGAUGUCAGAGGAAGGUGGAAUUCCUGGUGUAGUGGUGAAAUGCGUAGAUAUCAGGAGGAACACCAGUGGCGAAGGCGGCCUUCUGGGGCAUACCUGACACUGAGAAGCGAAAGCUAGGGGAGCAAACAGG